GGGUAUAGCUCAGUGGUAGAGUGCAGGCUUAACAUGCCUGAGGUCCCAGGUUCAAUCCUUAGUGCCUCCA
rnacentral:tRNA from 1 species